UACGGAGGGUGCAAGCGUUAUCCGGAAUCAUUGGGUUUAAAGGGUCCGCAGGCGGAUUUAUAAGUCAGUGGUGAAAGCCUACGGCUUAACUGUAGAACUGCCAUUGAUACUGUAAGUCUUGAAUUUGGUCGAAGUGGGCGGAAUAUGACAUGUAGCGGUGAAAUGCAUAGAUAUGUCAUAGAACACCGAUAGCGAAGGCAGCUCACUAGGCCAACAUUGACGCUCAUGGACGAAAGCGUGGGGAGCAAACAGG
rnacentral:rRNA from 1 species